AUAGAAGGACUAUCAGACCCCAGAGCCGAGUCACUGAUGGAGCUGAAGUCUGUGAGAUCAGAGGAUGGAGCUAGUGUGACACUGCAGGAACAACCCAAGUGCAGAACACAUGGAAAGCCCUCCUGCUUACUGUGAGAAGGAAUUAGCACCACCCCACAGCUCCUAGCCUGAUGCAAGAUACUCGGGGAAAGCAGCUGCAUCUCUGACAGGCCUGGAAUAGCAGUUUCCUCUAUAGUUCCUUUCACAGAUUAUAAGUUUAGGACCAGCUAGCUCUGCAGAAGCUCACGAUGUCAAGUACUAAGCAUCAUGUUUGACAUUUGGCAGACCUGUCACACCCCACCUUAGACUGGAUCCAGGAAGGAAGGAGCAGUUACAAGGAAGCAGCGUCAAACAGAGAUGCUUUUGACUGUGAAGGGCAGAAGGUUAAUGAAGCUAAUAAAACCCAUACUAUCCCUAGAGGCUCAGGACCUCUAGGAGGACCCUGCUGCUGUAAUCCAUUGUGUGUAGCUGACUGCUGUGGGGUGCUACCUGAGCUUUGGCUUGCUGCGGAGACACUCUGGUGAGCCUCCAAGUGUUCAGCCAUGGGUGCAGUGUCACAACAGUGACCCUUAUGGGAAU